GAAAGAAAAUAGUUUUUUGACAGCAACUGAGGUUGCAAAAACUCAAAUCUCUUGAGAGUUGAGCUGCAAUCCCUCUGGGAAACAUCACUGUCUCAGAAUAAAUUUUUUUUCUCCAUUCUCCAUGGAAGGAGAAUGCAGUGAGGAAAGCAAAGAUGACUGGAUUCUAGGAGCAUGGAUGCAGGCAGCCAGUUGUUGCUGAAAACUGUCACUCUUCCAGCUUUGAGUGCUCUGAGUACUCAAGGGCAUGUGGGAAACGAAGGACUCAGUAAGGAUCAGCAGAGAGAGGCAUUUGAGUGCACCAGAAGUUUUUUAACAUGUGCUGAGAAUGGAGAACGUCUGAGUAGUAACAGCUUUUGUAGUGGUGUAGCAUUCUCCUGCUCCAGAACCCUGCACGCUCAGUUCUUCCAGUCCACAGAGCUCCCGCUGAUUUUAUAGAAGAUGAGAGUCCUCAAAGCUGCCUCAUAGGUGCUGCAAAGGAUGUGGAUGGCUUGUCCUUCUCCAGGAUGUGGGGAGAAGCAGAGCAUUAUUUGUCUCUCUCCAUUUUAUCAUUAAACAAGAAUCAGCUAGGCCAUCAGCAUCAAAUUAUCUCUUCAAAGACCUCUUCAGAGAAAUCCAUGCACCAUUCUAGAGACUGUCAAGAAGUGAUUUGCCCUGCCAGGCUUCUGGGAAAGCAAAAUAUCAAGGAUCAGACAAUGGAACCAAAAAUUCAGCGAAGAAAUUCAGAUAAAGGCUAGAGAAAAAUGAAAUCAAAUUUCAAAACUUUGCCUUUUUAUUGCAUUGUAAGUCUUCUGGUUAAAUCCACCAGGCCCUGGAUUUGGUCAGAUACGCAACAUCAAAAUAUAGUUUUACUCUUUAUCAGAAUGCUGUAUUUUAAGCCUGUUUAUGGUCUUUUAGUUCAGCAGUAUUUUCAUGGGCUGCCUUUCCCUUUUAGAGAUCAAAGACAAAAUUCAGUCUACACUGACAAACUCAAUUCUGGAUUACAUAUGUAUAUGAAAUGGUGUUUCGGUACCAUUAAACUGUUUCAGCUUUCAAGCAAAAUCUUUUCCUGUUCCCUGUUGGGAUGAAAAACAAGGCCUUUUGAAGUUUUAUGUUAAAAACAAAAACUUGGGAGAGACCCAUGCCGUCCCAGCUAAAUGCUUGGUGGUCAGAGCUCUCAUUUGUCUGAUUUGGAAUAAAAGACUGUAAGUACAUUUCCCUUAGACCAAGAAACAUCUCUGAAUACAGGGCUACAAAAAUCUCUAUAUCAG
ensembl:lncRNA